GGCUCUUUGAAAAUAAACAUAUAAAGAGUCGAACCUGCCCAGUGAAUAGUUUUAACGGCCGCGGUACCCUGACCGUGCAAAGGUAGCAUAAUCAUUUGCCUUAUAAUUGAAGGCUGGCAUGAAUGGUCUGACGAGAGCAAUACUGUCUCCUCUUUAUUAUCUAAAAAUUAACCUAUAGGUGAAGAGGCCUAUAUAAAAUUGAAGGACAAGAAGACCCUGUCGAGCUUAAAAGAAAAGUAGAGGUUAGCUAUCAAAAGAGAUCAAUAAGCUAUAUAUAUAGCUUUUUAGUUGGGGCGAUUAAGGAACAAAUAAAGCUUCUUUUAUUUUUAUAGGUUUAUAGAUUCGGACCCAGCAAAGCUGAUCAGAGAAAUUAGUUACCGCAGGGAUAACAGCAUAAUCUCCUUUGAGAGACCUAAUCGAAAAGGGGGGUUGUGACCUCGAUGUUGGAUUAGAAUAUCCUGAAGAUGCAGACGUCUUCGAAGGUUGGUCUGUUCGACCAUUAAAAUUCU
rnacentral:rRNA from 1 species